rnacentral:rRNA from 1 species
GACGAACGCUGGCGGCGUGCCUAAUACAUGCAAGUUGAGCGCUGAAGGUUGGUACUUGUACCAACUGGGUGAGCAGCGAACGGGUGAGUAACGCGUGGGGACUCUGCCUUUGAGCGGGGGACAACAUUUGGAAACGAAUGCUAAUACCGCAUAAAAACUUUAAACACAAGUUUUAAGUUUGAAAGAUGCAAUUGCAUCACUCAAAGAUGAUCCCGCGUUGUAUUAGCUAGUUGGUGAGGUAAAGGCUCACCAAGGCGAUGAUACAUAGCCGACCUGAGAGGGUGAGCGGCCACAUUGGGACGGAGACACGGCCCAAACGCCUACGGGAGGCAGCAGUAGGGAAACUUCGGCAAUGGACGAGAGUCUGACCGAGAAACGCCGCGUGAGUGAAGAGGGUUGUCGGAUCGUAAAACUCUGUUGGUAGAGAAGAACGUGGGUGAGAGUGGAAAGCUCAUCAAGUGACGGUAACUACCCAGAAAGGGACGGCUAACUACGUG